GAUGAACGCUGACAGAAUGCCUAACACAUGCAAGUCAACCUGUGGCGGACGGGUGAGCAACGCGUAAAGAACUUUCCUCACGGAUAGGGACAACAUUUGGAAACGAAUGCUAAUACCUGAUACUGUGAGAGUGCUUUGCGUCACAUUAGCUAGUUGGAGAGGUAACGGUUCAAGUAGGCGAUGAUGGGUAGCCGGCCUGAGAGGGUGAUCGGCCACAAGGGGCCAGGGGCGCGACCCGUACUGAAUCGUGAGGCAGCGGUGGAGACUAUUGGACGCAAGGCCAAUGUCUGAACCAGCAAUUAUGGUUGCACGAUAAGUUUGUCGGAAGGAAGGGGGUUAUGAGUUGAGCAUCGGUACCAACAGAAGAAGCGACGGCUAAAUACGUGCCAGCCGCCGCGGUAAUUC
rnacentral:rRNA from 1 species